CGCGUAGGCGGCUCUGUUAGUCAGGCGUGAAAUUCCUGGGCUUAACCUGGGGACUGCGCUUGAUACUGCGGGGCUUGAGGCCGAGAGAGGGUGGUGGAAUUCCCAGUGUAGAGGUGAAAUUCGUAGAUAUUGGGAAGAACACCGGUGGCGAAGGCGACCACCUGGCUCGGUACUGACGCUGAGGCGCGACAGCGUGGGGAGCAAACAGGAUUAGAUACCCCCGUA
rnacentral:rRNA from 1 species